UGGGGAAUUUUGGACAAUGGGCGCAAGCCUGAUCCAGCCAUGCCGCGUGCGGGAAGAAGGCCUUCGGGUUGUAAACCGCUUUUGUCAGGGAAGAAAUCUUCUGAGUUAAUACCUCGGGGAGGAUGACGGUACCUGAAGAAUAAGCACCGGCUAACUACGUGCCAGCAGCCGCGGUAAUACGUAGGGUGCAAGCGUUAAUCGGAAUUACUGGGCGUAAAGCUGCGCAAGGCGGUUUUGUAAGACAGAGGUGAAAUCCCCGGGCUCAACCUGGGAACUGCCUUUGUGACUGCAAGGCUUGAGUGCGGCAGAGGGGGGAUGGAAUUCCGCGUGUAGCAGUGAAAUGCGUAGAUAUGCGGAGGAAACACCGAGGCGAAGGCAAUCCCCUGGGCCUGCACUGAC
rnacentral:rRNA from 1 species